UACGAAGGGUGCAAGCGUUACUCGGAAUUACUGGGCGUAAAGCGUGAGUAGGUGGUUUCUUAAGUCUGCUGUGAAAGCCCCGGGCCCAACCUGGGGAUUGCAGUGGAUACUGGGAGCUAGAGUGCGGUAGAGGGUAGUGGAAUUCCCGGUGUAGCGGUGAAAUGCGUAGAGAUCGGGAAGAACACCAGUGGCGAAGGCGGCUACCUGGACCAGCACUGACACUGAGUCACGAAAGCGUGGGGAGCAAACAGG
rnacentral:rRNA from 1 species